GUUGCUUUUUAAUGGUGAACCCCUUCAUAAAACCAAAUGAGGGAUGUUCAAGUUUCCGAAGCAUAGAUCGAAAGUCAGUAUUAAACAGCAUGGUGCAUUUCCAGUUGCACAUUGCUACCUGUCUCCUGCAACAAUU
rnacentral:snoRNA from 1 species